CCGAGCCCCUUCCAAGAAGCACCCCAUCGCCGACCCCUAGCCCCAUCCUAGCAGCGCCCUGCCGCCGCCCCAAUCCCCCUUCCACCAGUGUGUCGGCGUCGCCUCUGCUUCCAUGGCCACGGCACCGAUUUCCCCUCCACCGCCGCCCUGAUUCACCACCUCCGGACUGCUUCCCCUCCCACCUUGGACCUCCCACCUCCCUGGACCAGCUCUGGCCGUCCUCGAGUUCGCCUCCUCUAUCGCUGGUAAUCGACGAAUCUAUUUAUGAGCAUAUUAGUUUGUCAUUUCAUCACAUAGUCAGUUCGCCACGGCCACCGCCUCUCCAUCCAUGCAACCUCACCGCGGCCAGUACACAACCACCACCCCUGUCCGUUCACAGCAACCAUCCCUGUUCAUUCACCUAUACAAGAUGUCGAUGCCGAGCAUGCCGCCCUGCCCGACCAUGGCUCCUUGUCUCCACUACGGGAUCCCGGCCCGAUAGGCUCCCCGGAGCGUGUCUCGCCAGGUCGCCUCCUGGCAGGAUCUGCUGCCUUGGUUUCAUCAACCGUCGUCGCCUCUCCACCAUGUCUCCUACCCCAACCCCUAUCCAGUUCUAGUGACCUCCACCAGGUGUGCGUCAGUCUCGCCGUGCCAUGUGGAAAAUAUGGUGGCCUUCAUCAAGUAAUCUUUCUCUAACGGGGAUCCGAUGCUUGCGCCACCGAGAGCCUAAUCCUGCUUGUUGCAUGCUCACGGCGACCACAAGCAUUGGUAAGAUGAUUCAAUAUGGAGUACAGAUGUUGUUGAAUAUGACUUGUGUACUUGCUAGACAAUAGUGUAUGAACUUUUCCGAUGCAUAUAGCAAGCCGACGCAAAAAAGAGGACUUGUACAACGCUUCUCCAGUGCUUAUAAGCUUGACAUAUAUGAUGAAUCUAGCCUGAACCGAAGCUUGUUGGCGAGCCGGGCACUGGGCCAACCACAAGGCAAUGCCGCCGGCAGGGUGCUAGACGGCCGCCGAGCGCGGCAUGAGCCUUUUCGACCCCAUUUCCAGGUUCAGCGCCAAUGAUCUUGCCGUGGGGUUCGCGAAGGUGCUAGCUAGCCUUUGCUUCCAUUUUCUUCAAAAGCUCUGCUAACCCAUUAGCCACUGAUAAGAUGACUUCGCUUCCAAGUAGCCGCUCAAAGUAGUGGUCAUUUAAUGAAAAUGUUUCCUAUAAAACCAGUUUCUAAUGUUUACAUGUAUAGGCAGAAUAUGCAGUAUGCUGUUCCAUUUUUGAUUGAAUUGAAACCACGUAAAAUGCAAAGACUUAUGAUAGUCACUGAAUCAGUAGUACCAUCCAUUUUGUUCGCAUAGAGACAAACCCGUACAGAUACUUAUGAGGCACCAGAUAUUUCAUUUUCUUGUGUAGUUGUGGCUCCACGUUGUUGACCUCCCAGAAGAACCUUCACUAUGCCCUGAAUUUUACUAGCUCAAGUGUCAUGCUAUUUCCUAUUUGCCUUUGUGUCACAAUUACUUUGUUACAUUAGAUUAGAGAAGGUACUACAUAUAUCCUAGGAGUAUGUUGUUCUUUUGUAUAUUGAACUGAAAACCAGUUAGUGCAAAAGUCUGGAACUACAACCAUCAAAGAAGUGCCAGUAUCUUCGUUUUGUUAGAAAUAUAUGCAUUUUUGUCUAUAUAAAGGACAACAAAAAUAUGUGUUGUAUGUUCAAAGAACCUGAGAUGUUCAGGAAAGAGUUUCAAAAUAAAAAGGUUCUAGCAGGCCAUAUGUUGAAUCUGAGAAAGUUCGGAGAUGAACAAUAAAUAAGUAUAAUAACAACAAAGAAAAAAUUACUGAUUGGUUUACUCUAAGUUUCCACUAUUUAAGUUCAGCUCAAUUUCUAAUUUAAGUUCAGUUCAUAGGAGUUCUUGUAAUCAAUUAGUUUGGUCUAACUUAUGUUCCAUGAAUUUCUAGUACCCUAAUAGACUUGGUAGUGACAUGAGCUCCCUCUCCACCACUCCAGGAUUUGCAGCGCUGUCCAUUCCAGCCCCAUGGCAUACAUUAACUUAGUUGUUAUAGCAAAAACAGUACAGAACUCUAUUUAUUUUUAUUUUUGAACAUAUGAUGUUGCUAUACAUUAACUUGGUUGUUCUUAUUACAUGAACUUGUACAUUGCCUUGUCAGGUUGUGCGUCUACUACCCAAAAGUCCGCAAUACUUCAACGGAAAAUGUCUACAUCAGUUAUAACUCAAAAAGACCAUAAGUUCGGAGGAAGAAAAAGAUCACUGGCACUUUUGGUCCACACAGGCCGUCAGAGGAAGAAAAUUGUUUCUUCAUUUUGUUCAGGUUGCUCUAGGAUUUGUCAAUGUUCUGGAGGGAAGUAAUUAACUUGGGGUUUGGAGUCGUACCUACUGUGCCACCAAAUAUGUGUUAAAUAGUUCUAUUCAUCUCCAUACAUAAGUUCAAAGAUUUCAGAUUUUCCCUAGUGGUUGUUGAUCGGAGGGAUGUGUAUUGAUGUACCUUUCCUGCUGGAUCCUUCUUUUAAAUAAAUGUUUGCUGUUUUUUUACAGGAA